rnacentral:rRNA from 1 species
UACGGAGGGUGCAAGCGUUAUCCGGAUUCACUGGGUUUAAAGGGUGCGUAGGAGGGCAGGUAAGUCAGUGGUGAAAUCUCCGAGCUUAACUCGGAAACUGCCGUUGAUACUAUCUGUCUUGAAUACCGUGGAGGUGAGCGGAAUAUGUCAUGUAGCGGUGAAAUGCUUAGAUAUGACAUAGAACACCAAUUGCGAAGGCAGCUCACUACGCGAGCAUUGACUCUGAGGCACGAAAGCGUGGGGAUCAAACAGG